rnacentral:snRNA from 1 species
GUGCUCACUUUGGCAACAGAUACGCUAAAAUUGGAAUGAUACAGAGAAUAUUAGCAUGACCCCUGUAUAAGGAAGAUAUGUAAAUUUGUGAAGUAUUCCAUAUUUUU